rnacentral:rRNA from 1 species
UAGGGAAUCUUCGGCAAUGGGGGGACCCUGACCGAGCAACGCCGCGUGAGUGAAGAAGGUUUUCGGAUCGUAAAGCUCUGUUGUUAAGGAAGAACGAGUGUGAGAAUGGAAAGUUCAUACUGUGACGGUACUUAACCAGAAAGGGACGGCUAACUACGUGCCAGCAGCCGCGGUAAUACGUAGGUCCCGAGCGUUGUCCGGAUUUAUUGGGCGUAAAGCGAGCGCAGGCGGUUAGAUAAGUCUGAAGUUAAAGGCAGUGGCUCAACCAUUGUAGGCUUUGGAAACUGUUUAACUUGAGUGCAGAAGGGGAGAGUGGAAUUCCAUGUGUAGCGGUGAAAUGCGUAGAUAUAUGGAGGAACACCGGUGGCGAAAGCGGCUCUCUGGUCUGUAACUGACGCUGAUGUGCGAAAGCGUGGGGAUCAAACAGGAUUAGAUACCCUGGUAGUCCACGCCGUAAACGAUGAGUGCUAAGUGUUAGGGGGUUUCCGCCCCUUAGUGCUGCAGCUAACGCAUUAAGCACUCCGCCUGGGGAGUACGACCGCAAGGUUUG